GUAUAUAUAGCUCAGUUGGUAAGAGCAUGACACUCUUAAUCUCGAGGUUGUGAGUUCCAGCCCCACGUUGGGCA